rnacentral:sRNA from 1 species
AACCUAACCCCAGUUCCUCGGAAUUGGGUAUGGUCGCAAAAACCACGAAAGUAAAAACCCCUCGCUUGGGGAAGACUUUCGUGGUUAUGUUGGGAAACCUUCAUAGGGAGCAAUCCC